rnacentral:rRNA from 1 species
GUAGGGAAUAUUGGACAAUGGGCGAAAGCCUGAUCCAGCCAUGCCGCGUGAGUGAUGAAGGCCUUAGGGUUGUAAAGCUCUUUCGCCAGGGACGAUAAUGACGGUACCUGGAUAAGAAGCCCCGGCUAACUUCGUGCCAGCAGCCGCGGUAAUACGAAGGGGGCUAGCGUUGUUCGGAAUUACUGGGCGUAAAGCGUAUGCAGGCGGAUCGCUAAGUCAGGGGUGAAAUCCCGAGGCUCAACCUCGGAACUGCCUUUGAUACUGACGAUCUUGAGUCCGGGAGAGGUGAGUGGAACUGCGAGUGUAGAGGUGAAAUUCGUAGAUAUUCGCAAGAACACCAGUGGCGAAGGCGGCUCACUGGCCCGGUACUGACGCUGAGAUACGAAAGCGUGGGGAGCAAACAGGAUUAGAAACCCGGGUAGUCC